rnacentral:rRNA from 1 species
AUUGAACGCUGGCGGCAGGCCUAACACAUGCAAGUCGAGCGGAUGACGGGAGCUUGCUCCUGGAUUCAGCGGCGGACGGGUGAGUAAUGCCUAGGAAUCUGCCUGGUAGUGGGGGACAACGUUUCGAAAGGAACGCUAAUACCGCAUACGUCCUACGGGAGAAAGCAGGGGACCUUCGGGCCUUGCGCUAUCAGAUGAGCCUAGGUCGGAUUAGCUUGUUGGUGAGGUAAUGGCUCACCAAGGCGACGAUCCGUAACUGGUCUGAGAGGAUGAUCAGUCACACUGGAACUGAGACACGGUCCAGACUCCUACGGGAGGCAGCAGUGGGGAAUAUUAGACAAUGGGCGAAAGCCUGAUCCAGCCAUGCCGCGUGUGUGAAGAAGGUCUUCGGAUUGUAAAGCACUUUAAGUUGGGAGGAAGGGUUGUAGAUUAAUACUCUGCAAUUUUGACGUUACCGACAGAAUAAGCACCGGCUAACUCUGUGCCAGCCGCCGCCGUAA